rnacentral:lncRNA from 1 species
CUAUCAAGAGAAGACAAUUUAUUGAGCAGUGUUCUAUUUUUAGAAAUAGAAGAUCACCCAUAUGAUUGCCAAAGAAGCAAGAAGCCCAAAUCAAAACAUGGGAGAACAAAGAAAUUUGACUUUGCUCACCACUACCACUUUAAAUUAUUCACAGUGCAUGGCUGAUGGAAAAGAUAUUGCCUGUCCUGCAGCUUUAAAGUAUGCUUCUCUUCUAUGGGAACCCAAGUCUUCAGAGGGUCUCUGUGGGAUAUAAAAUUUAAAACUUACAGUGAAAAGGGAAAAACUUGUUGAAUGUUUACAAAAAUGUGAGUUCCUUGAUGCAUUUUCUAUAUUUAUUUAUGGGUUUGUGAGAAUUCUUUUUGUUUCGUGGUUGGUUUGGUUUUGGUUUUUGUAGGAUGAAAUAAAGGUAAUUCUUGACCAAGAAAAAUAAAUGCCAACUUUCUUCAAUCUAACUGGGAAAAAUACUAUAAAUUAAGUAGUAGUCAUAGAUUAAGGAGCUGUUUUUUUUUCUUUGCAGUCAUAAAUAGAAGUGUGCCCCAUGGCUGAAUUAUUAUUCACUGGCAUAGUAAAAUUGCUUUGGCUUAUUCAGAACAUCUCUCGGGAGCUUGAAGCCUAGGACAGAUAACAAGCCCUCCAAUCAAAGAGACAGAGGCUACUGAAGGUUCUGAUGAAAUGUGAGCUAAAACAACCUCUGCAUAUCUGACGAUGAGUUGCUUACUAAUGAGCUUUUUCUUGAAGGGGCAUGAGAAUGAUGGAGUGGAGUUCAAAGAAUGCAGUGAAUGGAGGAAAUGGAGAGAAUUCAUCCCUCCCCUUGGUGGGUGCUGAAUGGACACUCAAGCUUGCCCUAUGGAGAAGAGUCAAAAGGCAUCCCAAAGGUGUGGCAAAACAAUGGCAUAAUAUCACACGUUGGUAGCUGUGGUACAGCAGAAAUUAUAUUGACAAAACUAACCCCAAAAUCUUGUGCUUCACUGUCCUGGUGUGGACAAGAGAAUCUGAACUGA